AAAUUGGUGCAAAAGUGCCCUUUGAUAUAAACUUCUUUACUGCUGGAUUUUUGUGAAUUAAUCAUCUUGCCGGGGCAGGGUGGACAUAGAACAAGCCCCUAACUACUCCAAUUUGUGAAUACACAAGAAUCAGUUUGCUUACGCUGGCCGCAACGCAAAAAACAACAACAACAAAAAAAAAAAAAGCACACAAAAAACCACAAAACAAACAACAACUAAUGUCGUCUCUAAAUUUUUUAAAACUAUAUAAUGGUGGCUUGAAGAACACUAGUAAAUAAUCGUGUCAGUUUUUCGGUCGUUUCAACGUAAAUAUUUACAAGGUAAAAUACACGUACAAUGUAAAAAUUUUACGGUCACGUGAUUUAUCUCUCAUUCGUUUAGAUUUUUAAUUACUCAUCGCGCCCCGGAUCGAAAAACAUUCCAUGACCUUGAUAAUUUGUAUAAAAGUGUAUCAGCAUCGAGUUAACUAAUAAAACGACAAAGAAGUCUAAACAUGUGAUAUUAACUCGUACUUUGAUAUCUGAAGCACUGAAUCAAUUAGUUUGUAGGAGCAUAGAUUAAGAUAUUGUGCCUUGGCAAAAUUUGUUAACUGGAAGAAUCACAAUGAGCUGGGGAAGUUCUUGGAGCAGUGGGAGUUGGUCUAGUAGCAGUAGCUCCGGAAGUGGAUGGGGAAGCUCCUGGAGUAGUUGCGAUGGAAACAAAGACCCGGAGGGUCAACAUAAUUCCACGUGCAUUGCUGGAUCUGGUUCUUGGGGACACAAUGGACCAAUGAGUGGUUAUUAUGACGAAAGCUGCUCAGGUUGCCGACACGACAGAGCUGCUGCAACAUGGGGUGGGUCUCCGUCUAGACUGAAUACAGCUCUGAAAUUAGCAGCGCUCCUCGGUAUUGGAGUUGCAGUAAAGAAAAGUCUGUGGGACUAAAUUUACCAAAAUAGAGGCAACAAGUCUGCAAAAAAAAAAAAAAAAAAAAAAAAACAACUACAAAAUAUUAUUCACUUGGUGAUUUGUAGACGGAGUUGAAUUAAAAACCCUUACAAGCAGGAGCAUAACACUAGAUGCUUCCAAAACGAAAGACAAGUAUUGUCCGUAAGUAUUGACCUGGCACUCAUUAAUCUUCGCCAAUAUUUUCGGGCGUUUUCGUUAUUUUACGUGAUAUUCGUGUCCUAAAAAUAUCUAGAUUUAUCAAAAAUAAUCAAUUUAGAGAACCAACGGCACAGUGGUGUAGUGGUAAGCUCUCCGACUUGGAAACACGUUACCAUGGGUUCGAAUUCUUUUCUAACCAUUUUUUGAAAUAUGAUUCCUUGUGUUUGUAUUAGAAUCUAUGAUUAUAUAUUUUUUUCAUGAAACAUUGCAUUUUGUGUCGCUAACAAAAAUUCCUUGAAUUGUCCGUUGAAUGAAUGAAUAAAGAUUUUAAACGACA